UGGGGAAUAUUGGACAAUGGGCGAAAGCCUGAUCCAGCCAUGCCGCGUGUGUGAAGAAGGUCUUCGGAUUGUAAAGCACUUUAAGUUGGGAGGAAGGGCAGUUACCUAAUACGUAUCUGUUUUGACGUUACCGACAGAAUAAGCACCGGCUAACUCUGUGCCAGCAGCCGCGGUAAUACAGAGGGUGCAAGCGUUAAUCGGAAUUACUGGGCGUAAAGCGCGCGUAGGUGGUUUGUUAAGUUGGAUGUGAAAUCCCCGGGCUCAACCUGGGAACUGCAUUCAAAACUGACAAGCUAGAGUAUGGUAGAGGGUGUGGAAUUUCCUGUGUAGCGGUGAAAUGCGUAGAUAUAGGAAGGAACACCAGUGGCGAAGGCGACCACCUGGACUGAUACUGACACUGAGGUGCGAAAGCGUGGGGAGCAAACAGGAUUAGAUACCCCAGUAGUCCCUGAGCGGGCUGGCAAGGCGCAU
rnacentral:rRNA from 1 species